rnacentral:misc_RNA from 1 species
CAAAAAGCCGUCUGUGCCCAGGUGAUCCCCCCAAGGCAAGCCUGUUAACUUGAGCUUGCCCAAAACUCGAGAUCUUCUUGGGUUAGGUUUGACUCGAGUCUCCUUCAGCUAUAAACUGUUGUCACAGCCCUUUCUUGGAGGCUCGCUGUCAUCUUCUUAGUGUUUUUUAGCUGAUGGCAUUACCCAUAAGCCAAUAUGGAGCUAUUUCAAAUCAAGUUAGAUUCCAACCCAUAACUUGACUCAAUCGAAAAUCCGUAAUUUUUGACUUUGGGACUUUUUCCAUGUCUUAUCGUUUGUCGUCGACAUCAAUGUCGAUAUCGG